CGCAAGCCUGACGGAGCAACGCCGCGUGAGGGAUGAAGGCCUUUGGGCUGUAAACCUCUUUUCUCAAGGAAGAACAUCUGACGGUACUUGAGGAAUAAGCCACGGCUAAUUCCGUGCCAGCAGCCGCGGUAAUACGGGAGUGGCAAGCGUUAUCCGGAAUUAUUGGGCGUAAAGCGUCCGCAGGCGGCCGUUUAAGUCUGUUGUUAAAUCGUGGAGCUCAACUCCAUCACGGCAAUGGAAACUGUUCGGCUUGAGUAUGGUAGGGGCAGAGGGAAUUUCCGGUGUAGCGGUGAAAUGCGUAGAUAUCGGGAAGAACACCAGUGGCAAAAGCGCUCUGCUGGGCCAUUACUGACGCUCAUGGACGAAAGCCAGGGGAGCGAAAGGGAUUAGAUACCCCUGUAGUCCUGGCCGUAAACGAUGAACACUAGAUGUUGGGGGAAUCGACCCCUCCAGUGUCGUAGCUAACGCGUUAAGUGUUCCGCCUGGGGAGUACGCACGCAAGUGUGAAACUCAAAGGAAUUGACGGGGGCCCGCACAAGCGGUGGAGUAUGUGGUUUAAUUCGAUGCAACGCGAAGAACCUUACCAAGGCUUGACAUCCUGCGAAUCUCCAAGAAAUUGGAGAGUGCCUUCGGGAACGCAGUGACAGGUGGUGCAUGGCUGUCGUCAGCUCGUGUCGUGAGAUGUUGGGUUAAGUCCCGCAACGAGCGCAACCCAUGUUUUUAGUUGCCAGCAUUCAGUUGGGCACUCUAGAAAGACUGCCGGUGACAAACCGGAGGAAGGUGUGGACGACGUCAAGUCAUCAUGCCCCUUACGCCUUGGGCUACACACGUACUACAAUGCUGCGGACAAAGAGUAGCGAUCUUGCAAAAGUCAGCUAAUCUCGUAAACCGUGGCUCAGUUCAGAUCGUAGGCUGCAACUCGCCUACGUGAAGGAGGAAUCGCCAGUAAUCGCAGGUCAGCAUACUGCGGUGAAUACGUUCCCGGGCCUUGUACACACCGCCCGUCACACCAUGGAAGUUGGCCAUGCCCGAAGUCGUUACUCUAACCUUUUGGAAGAGGGCGCCGAAGGCAGGGCUAAUGACUGGGGUGAAGUCGUAACAAGGUAGCCGUAGCGGAAGCUGCGGCUGGAUCACCUCCUAA
rnacentral:rRNA from 1 species